rnacentral:lncRNA from 1 species
GGACCCCGAUGUGGGACUCGAUCUCGGGUCUCCAGGAUCACACCCCAGGCUGCAGGCGGCACCAAACCGCUGCGCCACCGGGGCUGCCCCAAGGUCUUUUUUUUAAACUUUUAUUUUAUUUUCAGAUUUUAUUUAUUUAAUCAUGAAAGACACAGAGAGAGAGAGAGAGAAAGAAAGGCAGAGGCACAGGCAGAGGGAGAAGCAGGCUCCAUGCAGGGAGCCUGACGCGGACUCGAUCCCGGGUCUCCAGGAUCACGCCCUGGGCCGGAAGGCAGGCGCUAAACCGCUGAGCCACCCAGGGCUACCCAUGAAUAAAUAAGAUUAAAAAAAAGAAGAAAAAAAAAAAAAAAAGAAGUACUGGAUGCGUCCAAAGAGCAAAUAAAACUUGUGGAGACUGGGACUGUUUCUUCAGUGCCCCUGCUUCCUCCAUCCUCACAGCAGCUCAGGGUCACCACAGAGCUAUGAACAGACACCUCAGCCACUUACCGACUGACUGGUCUUGCAUUUGACACACCCAUUUAAUGUGAUGAUUUAAUGUAAUUUUGUAUCUCUCUUCUCAGGAGAGCAAAGUCCCUCAUGCUGCGUUCAACUUCCUGGCUGGAAGACCAGGAUAAAGUUGCUUUUCAUCCCUCUGCUAGCAAGAGCAAGGCAGCACCCAUGUCAGGAGUGUGAGGUGGUGACUUUCUUCCAUCAAGGCCUCCAGAUUACCCAAAGCAACUCUAAGCAUCAGGAGAACAAAUCUCCAGAGCCAACUUGGGGUGCUUUGGGGUCAUCUCCAUUUGAGGACUGGAGUCAGGGGCCUUCCUCAGCUGGUCUAGAUGCUGCAAAGAAACAGCCAUGUCCCAUAAUAAAAUCUCUGGCUACUGGACUAUCUGCUGAGAAACACAAAACUGCUUCCUGAAGCUGAGUGGUCAGCUCUCCUCACCCAACCAGACCCAACUGGGCAGCACCAUUCUUGCUAUGCCUCAGUAGGGUCUUCACAGACAAUUGAAGCAACCCAAAUGUAAAAUUUAUAGAUGUCAUCUGUACUGAGUAUCCAUAUCAAGAAGACACAAACAGUAAUGAAGCCGUGUACCCCAUCACCGGUUCAUUGUUCCACUGCAGUAAUUCUUGAUAUGAUUAGUUGUAGCUACAGAGUUAAGCCCCAUGGUUGAUUAUUUUUGUGUUUUGGGGGGGCUAAAGUAAUGGACAUAUAGUUCAAAUGUUGUUCUUUUCCUGGGGUCAGACAGAUCUCACAUGACAUAGUUUGCUUCUUUGCCUCAUGUGUCAAUUCCUCCUCCUUUUCUGUCAUUAUCAUUAGGCCAUUAUUGAAUUUCCGAGGCAUGACUCUUGUUAGGAAAUGAUGGAAAAAAUACAGUUGCUCUAUAAUCACCAAUUACAUUGUGACUUCUUACAAGUAAAUGCACUCAACUUUCACCAUUACUCAUUCAUUAUAAAAUUGUAAGAGGUCCAACAUGCCUUUGUUUAGAGAUGUGGUCAUGCUUUGCUUGCUCUACUUCCUGGACAAGGAUCCAAAAUCAUAAUGGCCAGAUGAGACACUGUGAAGGAAUAAUGGCCGGUCAUGGGUCAUAUCACACACAUAGCCCUGAGUAGAGAAGCAUGGCAUCUUCUAGGCAUCUUUUGUAAAGAUGACAGGUUUCUUUAGAUGGGUCUCUGCUCAAACGUUAGGUGGAAGAUGUUUUGUUGACUGUGUUAUGGAGGUCUUUGGCCCUCCAAUGACUAUAGACCUCCCACAGGUCUAGGCAUAUCUGCUAUAAAUAAUAUGAAAACUUCAGAUAUUAUGUAUAACUGCUAGGUAUUUAAAAUAGGAAAUAGGUAAGAGAUGCAUUCUUGAGAAGAGGGAGAGAAGUUGCCUUUGAGAAAAGAUUGAGGGCAUUACUUAAUAGGU